rnacentral:rRNA from 1 species
UACGGGGGGUGCAAGCGUUGUUCGGAUUUAUUGGGCGUAAAGCGCGUGUAGGCGGUUUGUUAAGUCUGAUGUGAAAGCCCUGGGCUCAACCCAGGAAGUGCAUUGGAAACUGGCAGACUUGAAUACGGGAGAGGGUAGUGGAAUUCCUGGUGUAGGAGUGAAAUCCGUAGAUAUCAGGAGGAACACCGGUGGCGAAGGCGGCUGCCUGGACCGAUAUUGACGCUGAGACGCGAAAGCGUGGGUAGCAAACAGG